CCAGCACAACCGCGUUUUAAUCUGAAUCCAGCUUGAUUAGAGCCUUCCUGUCUCAUAUUGCCAUCAGUCUAUUUCAGUAGAAAGGAAGCCUAAUUUGCGUAUAAUGGAGCAACAUAGACCCGUUCGUAUUGCAUGCAAUUGAUCGGAGUUAGAGCGUAUGCGCUGGUACCCGAAAGAUGGUGAACUAUGCCUGAGCAGGAUGAAGCCAGAGGAAACUCUGGUGGAAGUCCGAAGCGGUUCUGACGUGCAAAUCGAUCGUCCGACUCGGGUAUAGGGGCGAAAGACUAAUCGAACCAUCUAGUAGCUGG
rnacentral:ncRNA from 1 species